rnacentral:rRNA from 1 species
UACGUAGGGGGGCAAGCGUUGUCCGGAAUCAUUGGGCGUAAAGAGCGUGUAGGUGGCUCGGUAAGUCCGCUGUGAAAGUCCAGGGCUCAACCCUGGAAAGCCGGUGGAAACUGUCGAGCUCGAGUCCGGAAGAGGCGAGUGGAAUUCCCGGUGUAGCGGUGAAAUGCGCAGAUAUCGGGAAGAACACCCGUGGCGAAGGCGGCACUCUGGGACGGUACUGACGCUGAGACGCGAAAGCGUGGGGAGCGAACAGG